rnacentral:rRNA from 1 species
UACGAAGGGGGCUAGCGUUGCUCGGAAUCACUGGGCGUAAAGCGCACGUAGGCGGAUUGUUAAGUCAGGGGUGAAAUCCCAGAGCUCAACUCUGGAACUGCCUUUGAUACUGUCGAUCUGGAGUAUGGAAGAGGUGAGUGGAAUUCCGAGUGUAGAGGUGAAAUUCGUAGAUAUUCGGAGGAACACCAGUGGCGAAGGCGGCUCACUGGUCCAUUACUGACGCUGAGGUGCGAAAGCGUGGGGAGCAAACAGG